GAGGCCAAGGUGGGUGGAUUACUUGAGGUCAGGAGUUCGAGACCAGCCUGGCCAACAUGGUGAAACCCCUUCUCUACUAAAAACACAAAAAUUAGCUGGACAUGAUGGCAUGUGCCUGUAAUCCCAGCUACUCGAGGUGGAAGCAGGAGAAUCACUUGAACCGGGAGGCAGAGGUUGCAGUGAGCCGAGAUUGUGCCACUGUACUCCAGCCUGGAUGAAAGAAAGAGUCAAAAAAAAAAGUUACUGUGGCUUCCUUCUUGCAGUCUUUCUUGGGUCACUCACCCUAGGAGAGACUGGCUGCCAUUUGAAAGGUCAGUCAACCUGCCUUAUGAAAAAAUUCAUAUGGGAAGAAGCAGCUUCUCCGCUCCUUCUGGAAUCUCUCCCUAGUUCAGCCCUCCUGCCUCCACUCCUGCCUCCAUCAUGUCCAUCAGGGUGACCCAGAAGUCCUACAAGGUGUCCACCUCUGGCCCCGGGGCCUUCAGCAGCUGCUGCUUCACGAGUGGGCCCAGUGCCCGCUUGAGCUUCUCCCGAGUGAGCAGUAGUGGCUUCCGGGGUGGCCUGGGUGCAGGCUAUUCUGGGGCCAGCGGCAUAGGCAUGGGAGGCAUCACCGCCGUCACCAUCAACCAGAACCUGCUGAACCCCAUUAAGGUGGAUGUGGACCCCAACAUCCAGGCCGUGCGUACCCAGGAGAAGGAGCAGAUCAAGACCCUCAACAACAAGUUUGCUUCCUUCAUCGACAAGGUGCGGUUCCUGGAGCAGCAGAACAAGAUGCUGGAGACCAAGUGGAGCCUCCUGCAGCAGCAGAAAACGGCUAGGAGCAACAUAGACAACAUGUGUGAGAACUACAUCAACAACCUGAGGCGGCAGCUGGAGACUCUGGGCCAGGAGAAGCUGAAGCUGGAGGCGGAGCUUGGCAACAUGCAGGGGCUGGUGGAGGACUUCAAGAACAAGUAUGAGGAAGAGAUCAAUAAGCGUACAGAGAUGGAGAAUGAAUUUGUCCUCAUGAGGAAGGAUGUGGAUGAAGCUGACAUGAACAAGGUAGAGCUGGAGUCUUGCCUGGAAGGACUGACUGACGAGAUCAACUUCCUCAGGCAGCUGUAUGAAGAGGAGAUCCAGGAGCUGCAGUCCCAGAUCUCUGACACGUCUGUGGUGCUGUCCAUGGACAACAGCCGCUCUCUGGACAUGGACAGCAUCAUUGCCGAGGUCAGCAUCAUUGCAGUACGAGGAGAUCGCCAACCGCAGCCGGGCUGAGGCAGACAGCAUAUACCAGAUCAAGUAUGAGGAGUUGCAGACGCUGGCUGGGAAGCACAGGGAUGACCUGUGGCAUACAAAGACUGAGAUCUCCGAGAUGAACCAGAACAUCAGCCGGCUCCAGGCUGAGAUUGAGGGCCUCAAAGGCCAGAGGGCUUCCCUGGAGGCUGCCAUUAGAGAUGCUGAGCAUCGCGGGGAGCAGGCACUCAAGGAUGCUCAUACCAAGCAGCAGGAGCUGGAAUCUGCCCUGCAGCGGUCCAAGCAGGACAUGGCAAAGCAGCUGCGUGAGUUCCAGGAGCUGAUGAAAGUCAAACUGGCCCUGGACAUCGAGAUCGCCACCUACCGCAAGCUACUGGAGGGCGAGGAGAGCCAGCUGGAGUCCGGGAUGCAGAACAUGAGUAUCCACACGAAGACCACCAGCGGCUAUGCAGGUGAUCUGAGCUCUGCCUAUGGGGGCCUCACAAGCCCCGGCCUCAGCUACGGCCUGGGCUCCAGCUUUGGCUCUGGCGCGGGCUCCAGCUCCUUCAGCCACACCAGCUCCACCAAGGCUGUGGUUGUGAAGAAGAUCGAGACUCGCGAUGGGAGGCUGGUGUCUGAGUCCUCUGACGUCCUGCCCAAGUGAACAGCUGCAACAGCCCCUCCCAGCCUGCCCCUCCUGAGGCUGCCCCAGAGCCCAGGAGGGAGGUUGCUGUGCAGGGGAACGCAGGGAACAGGAGACCCACCUGACGCUCAGCCCUAGCCCUCAGCCCACCAGCGGGGAGUUUACUGCCUGGGGACCCCCCUUGUCCAUGCCUCCAGCUACAAAACAAUUCAAUUGCUUUUUUUUUUUUGGUCCAAAAUAAAAUCUCAGCUAGCUC